rnacentral:rRNA from 1 species
CGGUUCUGCAAGUCUUCCGUUAAAUCCACCUGCUCAACAGAUGGGCUGCGGAGGAUACUACAGGGCUAGGAGGCGGGAGAGGCAAGCGGUACUCAGUGGGUAGGGGUAAAAUCCUCUGAUCCACUGAAGACCACCAGUGGCGAAGGCGGCUUGCCAGAACGCGCUCGACGGUGAGGGAUGAAAGCUGGGGGAGCAAACCGGAUUAGAUACCCGGGUAGUCCCAGCUGUAAACGAUGCAGACUCGGUGAUGAGUUGGCUACAUGCCAUCUCAGUGCCGCAGGGAAGCCGUUAAGUUUGCCGCCUGGGGA